UACGUAGGGGGCAAGCGUUGUCCGGAAUCAUUGGGCGUAAAGAGCGUGUAGGCGGCCAGAUAAGUCCGCUGUGAAAUCUCGAGGCUCAACUUCGAGCUGUCGGUGGAAACUGUCUGGCUAUAGUCCGGAAGAGGAGAAUGGAAUUCCCGGUGUAGCGGUGAAAUGCGCAGAUAUCGGGAGGAACACCUAUGGCGAAGGCAGCUCGCUGGGACGUUACUGACGCUGAGACGCGAAAGCGUGGGGAGCAAACAGG
rnacentral:rRNA from 1 species